UGCCAGCAGCCGCGGUAAUACGGAGGGUGCAAGCGUUAAUCGGAAUUACCGGGCGUAAAGCGCGUGUAGGUGGAUUGUUAAGUCAGAUGUGAAAGCCCCGGGCUCAACCUGGGAAUUGCAUUUGAUACUGGCAAUCUAGAGUAUGGUAGAGGGUAGUGGAAUUCCUGGUGUAGCAGUGAAAUGCGUAGAUAUCAGGAGGAACAUCAGUGGCGAAGGCGACUACCUGGACCAAUACUGACACUCAGACGCGAAAGCGUGGGUAGCGAACGGGAUUAGAUA
rnacentral:rRNA from 1 species